AAAGCCUGUUUAGGCUACCCAGUUUAAGUGAGGAAUUGUUGAUUUUCUUUUUAUUUCCUAUUUAUUUUUCCUUUUCUUUAUUUCCGUCGUUUCCUUCUUUUUCCCCUUCACUUGUGCUGGGCCGUUCCUCUCCGAGCCAUCCCCGACGCCGAGCAGCGCCGGCCUUCUUCUCCUAGCCGGCACUAAAGUCGCCGUUGUGCCCUAGAUCUUUGCCGCCGGUCACCGCGAGCCCUAGCUGGCCAUCGGCGCCCAUUGUCCCUUUUGCUGUGGAGAUCCCCACGUCGCCGUCGCUUGACCUAGCCGACCAUCAAGAAGCCUGCUGCCAUCGUCGACGAAGCUUCAACCACCUACUCGAGGUGCUGUUCCACCGCCAAUAUUUUUGGUCUUUCUGAUCAGUUGAGGAUCAACAGAAGGUUCUGGGUAUAAGAUCAACCCUUUGAUUUACAGCAGCGACCAUCCUAUGUUGUGAGCCAAUAGAGAAGUCUUCGAAUUGGACUUUGACGCGAGACGAGUAUCUCGAUUGUCGGAUUGGACCAUUUUGAUUGGAGGCGGG